ACUUAGAUAGUUUAAUUAGAAUUAUAAUUUGUGGUGUUAUGGGUGUAUUUUAUACUCUAGGUU
rnacentral:tRNA from 1 species